ACACUGUCACCAGAUUGAUUUCCAAAAAACAUGUUUAUUCGUUAUUAUUAUGUAGUUUCGCCAAUGAUGUUCAACAAUUAAUGAUAUUUUCAUGAUAAAAGGUUAAUAAAAAUCGUGAUCCUUGAUAUCAAAGCACAAAGUAAACCACUCAUUGUUGCUCUUGAAAGUGUUGUCGUUCAUGGAAAAUCAUGACAAAUUGAAAAACAAGUAAUAUUUCAACAUGUAAAAUGGAGAAGUUACGGCUAUCGUCAAUAUUCCUGCUUGUGAUAUAUUUUACAUCAAUUGAACCGAAAUGUAGCAAUGAAAUUCACGGACUUUAUUGUUUGAAUCUAACAGGAGAUGAGAACAAUAUAUUAGUUUUCAACAUGACUGAAAAAACAUUGAACACAAGUGUAAAGUCGGUAUUUUUAAGGAACAGUUCGGGGGAUAUAAGCAACUCAUCAUUUGUUAUUUUCAAUAAUGUAGACUCUCUGGAUAUUCAAUUUUCCAGUAUAAAAAAAUUCUCCUCUGGCUCAAAAUCUUUGGAUACAUUAUAUCUAAUAAAAAACUAUAAGUUUCCUAACUUGACUGAGGAUUUGUUUAAAUCGUGUUGUCAAAAUUUGACAAUUCAUUGCCAACAAUCAAGGACUAUUUGUGGAAAAUGGAGCAUUCAAGAACUCAAUAACUCUCCAUCAUCUAACAAUCACAGGACAAAAUAUAACAAAUUUGACAAAAAACCUCUUGGAAGGACUGAAUGAACUCGAUUAUUUAGAUCUACAAGGAAACGGCAUAAAAUAUAUUGCGGGAGAUACUUUUCUCGACUUAGAAAGGUUGAAUCAUUUGGUACUGAGCCAUAAUCCAAUCAUCAAUUUCGAAAUCAAUACUUUCAUUGGCUUGAGAAAUUUGGAGAGCCUCGACCUGUUAGGUUUGGAUCUAGAGGGGUUCGAUUCAACACUUUUUACCAAUCAACAUGAACUGAAAUACAUUGGAAUACCAUCAAAGUUAGUGAAAGAAAAGCUACAACUUCAAGAGCUAACUAAAACUUUCAGAAAAUUAGAAAGAAUAGGACUGCUCUAUAAAGACAUGAAUGAUACGCUGAUUAGCGAUUUUGUUAAAACAUGCAGAUACAGUGGAUUUGAAAUAAAAAUCACAAUACCUGAUCAUUUCUAAAACACUGAGAACAUUCAACUUCUACGGAAGAAGAAUCUAGCACACUAGUAACUCCACAGUAAGAAAACUCCGCUUAUAGUUUAUUAGGAUUAUAUAUUCAGGAUUAUAUUAUGUCCACAAGUUUUUUGACUUCGCGCUAAUUGUUUUGUAUUGCUCAUUGAAUAUUUAUAUAUUUUUUUAUUAAGAAUUAUUUCAUACAA